UAGACAGAUUAUUGUAUUCGACUUUAUUCACGACGUGAAACAGGGGAUUAUACUGUUUUUAAGGAAAGUGAAUCAAUUAACAUAAUAGACUCCU
rnacentral:pre_miRNA from 1 species